rnacentral:rRNA from 1 species
GAUGAACGCUGGCGCCGUGCUUAACACAUGCAAGUCGAACGAUUAACGCCCCUUCGGGGGUGUAUAGAGUGGCGAACGGGUGAGUAACACGUGGGCAAUCUGCCCCUCACUUCGGGAUAACUCAGGGAAACUUGAGCUUAUACCGAAUACUCCGGGAUGGUCGCAUGGCCAACCCGCGAAGGCUCCGACGGUGAGGGAUGAGCCCGCGGCCCAUUGGGUUGUUGGUGAGGUAACGGCUCACCAAGGCCGCGGUGGGUAGCCGCGCUGAGAGGCGGAUCGGCCACACUGGGACUGAGACACGGACCGGGCUCCCGCGGGAGGCAGCAGUGGGGAAUUUUGCGCAAGGGGCGAAAGCCUGGCGCGGCAACGCCGCUGGCGGGAUGAAGGCCUUCGGGUUGUAACCCGCUUUCAGCAGGGAAGAAGCUGACAGUACCUGCAGAAGAAGCCCCGGCUAACUACGUGCCAGCCGCCGCCGUAACAC